ensembl:lncRNA
ACAAGAGAUUGCCGCGGAAGAGCCUGUUGUCCGUAUAUUUAUAUAUUUCCGAAAUCACAUUGUAGUGACGUGUACUGAACACAAUAUAUUAUAUAAUGUAAACAACUACCUGAGAAACAUCAGAUACAGCAGAUAAAUUAAUUAUAGGCCAUUACUUUUGUAUCGUUUAUUGUAUUUAUGGAGGGAGAGGUGUAUGCUGGGUAAUGGCACAGCUAGCGACCGGGUGACCCGCUUCGGAUGUUCAGUCCAUCAGGCGUUAUUAGCAGAAAUCAGUCCCAUAGAUGUGGGCCAUCUCCACCUGCUAGAUUGUUCAGAAGGUUGUUAUCAUCCAUCCAGAUGGAGGAUCACUAACAGGAGCGUGGAAGACUCCAGGAUCCACUCUGGCUGGAAUCCGGUGGAUACAGCAGUGUUACAGAACAGUUCUCCACAGUCACUGUCCACAUGGGUCAGUGGGACCAAGAAGCACUCUGCUAAUGUGGGACUCUGACCAGCAACAUCCAGCAACAUCCAGCAAGACCCAGGCAGCG